rnacentral:misc_RNA from 1 species
UUGUACACACCGCCCGUCACACCAUGGAAGUUGGUCACGCCCGAAGUCGUUACCCCAACCGCAAGGGGGGGGAUGCCUAAGGUAGGACUGAUGACUGGGGUGAAGUCGUAACAAGGUAGCCGUACCGGAAGGUGUGGCUGGAUCACCUCCUUUUAGGGAGACCUAAUCCAUUUAGAAAUCGAAAGCAGUGAAAAUUGUGGGUAGAAACUAAAUUGGUCUAACCUAGGUCGGUCGCAGCCUUGAAGUAAAGCUUUCAAACUAUGAUUUGGUUCGAUAAGGGCUAUUAGCUCAGGUGGUUAGAGCGCACCCCUGAUAAGGGUGAGGUCCCUGGUUCGAGUCCAGGAUGGCCCACCUGAAGGAAGUCAAAAAUCAAAAGUCAAAAGUCAAAAUUAAAUAUUUUUGAAGCAUGACUAGAAAUUUUGAGUUCUUUUUGGGGGUUUAGCUCAGUUGGUAGAGCGCCUGCUUUGCAAGCAGGAUGUCAGCGGUUCGAGUCCGCUAACCUCCACAUUGGAAAAAAAACAGCACCUAACUAUAAAAGUUAGACUGCUGGGUGAAAUUCCAGCCAGAACCUUGAAAACUGCAUAAGAGAACGAGAAAAAGCAGGCAGACACAAACAUUUAGAUGAAUGUGAAAGCAAAGAAAAAUUGUGGUCAAGCUAAUAAGGGCUAAUGGUGGAUACCUAGGCACACAGAG